AUGAUCCUCGCCUCCUCCAACUUCGUUAGGGUAGCACGUCUCUGUCCAUUCUCUUCUCCCGUCUCUGUGUAUGUGUGUGUGUUCGUCGUUUCUCCUUUCUUCUCUCAUGAAGAAGGGGCUGCUCAGUUUUGGAACAACAAACCAUGGAGGAUAUGGGUCUGCACGGGCUUGGAGCAGGAAGCCAUGGCGGCCAAGGUUGAAGAUGAUGGUGUUGUCUUCUUCCUUCUGAUUGAUUUCCAACAGCUUAAGAACUUGUGCGGUGGUGUCAACCUCUUAUCUCUCAGGGAAAAUCCUAAAGAAGCCUUGCUUUGCAUGGGAGCUGCAGUUCAUCUGGCUAAGUGCUCGUGCUAUGGAAGCGACGAGGGCUGUCGCGGUGUAGACAAGGACUCGGAUCUAAGAGGGACGCGUGGGUGCGGAUAG
rnacentral:rRNA from 1 species